GACGAACGCUGGCGGCGUGCCUAAUACAUGCAAGUCGAACGCACAGUUUAUACCGUAGCUUGCUACACCAUAGACUGUGAGUUGCGAACGGGUGAGUAAUGCGUAGGUAACCUGCCUGGUAGCGGGGGAUAACUAUUGGACACGUUAGCUAAUACCGCAUAAUAUUAAUUAUUGCAUGAUAAUUAAUUGAAAGGUGCAAUUGCACCACUACCAGAUGGACCUGCGUUGUAUUAGCUAGUAGGUGAGGUAACGGCUCACCUAGGCGAGGAUACAUAACCGACCUGGAAGGGGGAUACGCCAAACUGGGACGGGAGAACGGCCCGGAACCCUGCGGGAGGGAGCAGGAGGGGAUCCUUGGGAAUGGACGAAAGGCUGAACGAGGAACGCCGGGGGAGAGAAGGAGGUUGUCGGGUCGUAAAGCUCUGGUGUAAGUGAAGAACGGAAGUGAGAGUGAAAAGUGCACAUUGUGACGGUAUCUGACCAGAAAGGGACGGCUAACUACGUG
rnacentral:rRNA from 1 species